AGGUGGUGUAUAGUGGACAUGUUCACUGGUUGUGUUCUCUUAUGUUUAUGGCCACUAUGGAGGAAGUGGGCCCUUUACCAGAGGGAGACGGCCAAGUUCUGCUCUACAUGCAUCACUGGGUGUUUUUCUGUGGACAGGAAGGAUGUUUCUGCAGAACUCUACAUGUAAACUUUCCACUGGGUGUUUGCCCCAGGUAUCAUGGCUAUAACUGUUAAGAGAGCCCCAGACCUCUCUUCCAUAUAAAGCUAUGGGUAGAAUUACACAAUCAAAUAUCUUUAUCCAAAUUCUGAUUGGAAUGUUAAUCUUGAAUAAUCUAAUUUGUAUGGCAUGCACUGCCCUACGGGCUUUUGUAAGUAAUGCUUUAAUCGCCAAAUUGAAAUUCAAAGAAGGGGUUAAGACCAGGCCCAGAUAACUGUACUGUGAAGUUUGCUGAAGUGUGGUGUUGUUGAGGGUAAAUGUGUGUCUUUUUUCAUGAUUUCUGCAUUUUUUCUGAAAUAUCAUUCUUUUAGUUUUUUGGAUGUUGAUUUCCCAAUCAUGCCCAAUCAUGGCAAUAUUGAUUUAAGAUGUCCAGACUGUUUUGGAGACCUGGUGUCCUAGACAGAAUUAGCAGAUCAUCUGCAUUGACUUGAGUGUCAUAAAGCUCAAGUCCUGGGCUUUCAUAGCAGUCCAGUAACUCUGCCAGUUCAUUAAUAUACUGUAAAUUUUAAAUAAAGUGUGGCUAAUACAGAAUCCUUGUCUUACACCACGCUGUUGGGGAAAGUAUACUGUUCUUUUUUGCCCAAUCUUUACUGUACAAUUACUGUGUGUGCACAUAUGUGUAAUUAGGUCAUAUACCUUACCUCCUAUGCCACUUUGAAUGAUUUCAUUAAGUAACCCUUGUUGCCAAAUUGUGUCAAAAUCCUUUUACAAUCUUAAAAACAUGCAAAUACUUUGCCCUCUUUUUUUUUUGGUGUACUUAUUUAUUAUUGUUUGUAGUGUAUAUACAGUAUAUGGUCAGUGGUUCGAUGUUUAAGGAGGAAGCCAAUUUGAGAUUGUCUCUCUCUCUCUCUCUCUCUCUCUCUCUCUCUCACACACACACACACACACAGUAGGCUUAUUUAACAAUUAGCGCAUUCUUAGUGUUUGUCAUUUAGCCUUCAGAGUUGAUCUUAGACAUUUGCUCAUGGUCAAGUGUUGAUAGUGGGUGUGCGUUAGAAACUGAGAAAGAGUCAUUAAAGUCCUGGUGAUAAUUAUCACCCCCCCCCCCAUCCAUUCCAUUAUUUCUCUUACCUCCCUUUCCAUUUGGUGAUGGACAAAGAGAGGGUUUAAAAUAAGGUUAGAUAAACAACACUACACUAAUGGACACAAUGUUCAGAGACAGAAAUGAGGUUUAAUAUAUAUUUAAUGUUGUUAACAUUAACAACCAAGUCAAUUUACACUGGAUCUCUGCAGUAGCAAAUAAUGUCCAAGAAUUGAUAACUCAUUAUUUGGAUAUUAUACAGUAUUUUACAGUUGUGACAAAUUAAAAAAUCAUGUUCAUCAUAGUAGAAGUUUAUUCAAGUAAUUGAUUUGUGUGAAUCUUAAAUGUAUUUUUGAAUAACUUAAAUAUUCCUAGUUCAAUACAAGUUAAGCUCAUUCGACAGCAUUUGUGGCAAAAUGAUUACCACAAAUAUUUAUUUUGACUUGUCCCUCUGAGGUUACAGUGAGGCACUUACAAUGGAAGUGAAUGGUGCCAAUUUUUGGAGGGUUUAAAGGCAGAAAUGUGAAGUUUAUAAUUUUACAAAAACACUACUUCUUUUGUUAAAACUCAAGUAUUAUUUGAACUAUAAAGAUUUAAUUUUAAGGUUUAAGGGUUUGUUGACAUUACAUCGUCAUGGCAAACAAAGUUGUAAAAUUGGCUAUAACUUAAGCGAUUUUGUCACAGUAAAAUCAUGUUAACACACGCAUAUUAUUUGUCUUGUGGCUAUAUGUGACAAGGACGAGGGCGUGGCUGGGCCGAGAUGAUUCAUGCCCGGCGCUGAGUUGCCCAAUCAGCUCCUUUCCCGAUGAACGAGAGGCUUGUCUGCCACACUAUACUUUUGAAAUAGUCUCUCUCUUUGCGGAUGCCCUGGAGUACAGUACGGUUCUCCUGAGCUCUGCGCAGCAAAUAUGGCAGUGUGUCAUCCACUGAGCCAUACGGCACUGACUUAUACACUGAGAAACCAUGCUAUGAGCUAUGAGAGGGAG